UACGUAGGGUGCAAGCGUUGUCCGGAAUUAUUGGGCGUAAAGAGCUCGUAGGCGGUUUGUCGCGUCUGCCGUGAAAGUCCGGGGCUCAACUCCGGAUCUGCGGUGGGUACGGGCAGACUAGAGUGAUGUAGGGGGAGACUGGAAUUCCUGGUGUAGCGGUGAAAUGCGUAGAUAUCUGGAGGAAUACCGGUGGCGAAGGCGGCAUCCUGGACCGGCAUUGACGCUGAGGAGCGAAAGCCAGGGGAGCAAACGGG
rnacentral:rRNA from 1 species